rnacentral:rRNA from 1 species
UACGUAGGGGGCAAGCGUUGUCCGGAAUCAUUGGGCGUAAAGAGCUCGUAGGCGGCUUGUCGCGUCGUCCGUGAAAACCCACAGCUCAACUGUGGGCUUGCGGUCGAUACGGGCAGGCUAGAGUUCGGUAGGGGAGACUGGAAUUCCUGGUGUAGCGGUGAAAUGCGCAGAUAUCAGGAGGAACACCGGUGGCGAAGGCGGGGUCUCUGGGCCGAUACUGACGCUGAGGAGCGAAAGCGUGGGGAGCGAACAGG